ACGUACAGAACCUUCCUUCAAGCGGGGAAUAGCCCAGAGAAAUUUGGAUUAAUACCCCAUAGCAUAAUGGAGUGGCAUCACUUUGUUAUUAAAGAUUUAUCACUUGAAGAUGGCUGUGCGGCUGAUUAGGUAGUUGGCGGGGUAACGGCCCACCAAGCCUGCGAUCAGUAACUGGUGUGAGAGCACGACCAGUCACACGGGCACUGAGACACGGGCCCGACUCCUACGGGAGGCAGCAGUAAGGAAUAUUGGUCAAUGGACGAAAGUCUGAACCAGCCAUGCCGCGUGGAGGAUGAAGGUCCUCUGGAUUGUAAACUUCUUUUAUCUGGGACGAAAAAAGGUCUUUCUAGAUCGUCUGACGGUACCAGAUGAAUAAGCACCGGCUAACUCCGUGCCAGCAGCCGCGGUAAUACGGAGGGUGCAAGCGUUAUCCGGAUUCACUGGGUUUAAAGGGUGCGUAGGUGGGUUGGUAAGUCAGUGGUGAAAUCUUCGAGCUUAACUCGGAAACUGCCAUUGAUACUAUCAGUCUUGAAUAUUGUGGAGGUUAGCGGAAUAUGUCAUGUAGCGGUGAAAUGCUUAGAUAUGACAUAGAACACCAAUUGCGAAGGCAGCUGGCUACACAUAUAUUGACACUGAGGCACGAAAGCGUGGGGAUCAAACAGGAUUAGAUACCCUGGUAGUCCACGCCCUAAACUAUGGAUACUCGACAUACGCGAUACACUGUGUGUGUCUGAGCGAAAGCAUUAAGUAUCCCACCUGGGAAGUACGAUCGCAAGAUUGAAACUCAAAGGAAUUGGCGGGGGUCCGCAC
rnacentral:rRNA from 1 species